UUUACAAGAGAUGUUGAUGUCCUCCACCUCAUAAAAAUUGGAAUACUUUUUGUUGCAGCCACCCAACCCAUCAAUGCUUUGGCAUUUGUAUUUUUGCAGACUAUAAUCUAUCUCCUUACGUGAGAUGGUUAUUACAACCCUGGGUGAUCUGCAUGGGCUCUAUCCGGGGAUCAUUAUUGCAAAAUAAGGUUUUGAGGAUUAAGGAUAAGUCUACUGAUCAGGUUCAAACAUCCCUUUGAGAAAAUUUUGUACAAGUUGUAUGUAUUGCUAAAUAAUAAGUAGUGCCAACCCCACUUUGUCUGGAAGAAAUUGAAGAGAUAGAUAAAUGCCUAACUCGUACCUUAAUCAUGUUGGUGUUUGUUAAUUAGUUAAUUAUUAGACAUAUAUGGAAAAAUGCUAAGUAAAAAGACCUCAGCAAGAAAAACCAUUUUGAAACAUCGUCUGAAUAUAAAGAAGA